CAAGCCCAGACACGUCUUCACUCCCUCCUGCAAGCCCCAAGGAAGCCCUCUCUCCCCAUGCAUGACCAACUAGGGUCCUUCCUAUGGCAUGACCUGUGAAGUGCAGUCCAAAAUCAAGAAGAACAAUGAGGAGACGGAGGAGUGGCUGGUGGAGUGGACCAUAGCGCAGUGUGGCCCUGAUGUGGGCCACCCAGACCAUGGGUGCCUGGACUUGCAGGUCUGGCUGAAGAAUGGCGUGAUUCUGAGCAAGCUGGUGAAUAGCCUGUACCUUGAUGGCUCCAAGCCUGUGAAGGUGCCUGGGAACCCACCCUCCAUGGUCUUCAAGCAGAUGGAACAGAUGGCUCAGUUCCUGAAGGGAGCUGAGAACUAUGGGGUCGCCAAGACUGACAUGUUCCAGACUGCUGACCUCUUCGAAGGCAAAGAUAUGGCAGCAGCGCAGAGGACCCUGAUGGCUUUGGGCAGCUUGGCAGUGACCAAGAAUGACAGGCACUACCAUGGAGAUCCCAAUUGGUUUAUGAAGAAAGUGCAGGAGCAUAAGAAGGAAUUCACAGAGAGCCAGCUGCAGGAGGGAGAGCAUGUCAUUGGCCUUCAGAUGGGCAGCAAGAGAGGGGCCUCGCAGGCCAGCAUGACAGGCUACAGAUGACCUCAGCAAAUCAUCAGUUAGAGGGGAGAGGGCCAGCCCUGAGUCCUGCCCUCCCCCAACUCCUUGGCUGCAGCCAUCCCACUUAGCCUGCCUCACCCACACCCAUGUGGUAUCUUCAGCCCUGGCCAAGCUUUGAGGCUCUGUCACUGAGCAAUGAUAACUGCACAUGGGCAGUUUCUUCCCCGUUCCCCAGCCUCAGCCCAACUUCUCACCCGAAAGCAUCACUGCCCCAGCCCCUCCCUUCCAGCUGCCCCUGCCA